rnacentral:lncRNA from 1 species
GACAACUUAAACAUGUGGUGCCCUAUCUUGAGUGUAUUAUAUCAGUAGGCUUGCAAAGAUAGGAUGACUUGCAUGAGAAAAUAGAAGUUAGCUCCAUAAAAGGCUGGUGAAUGUACAUAUAACUAUGAUUUUGUAACUGUCACUCUGCAUUUGACAACAUAGAAGUUAGCUCCAUAAACAUUUUCUUGUCGUGCAUAUAGGGAACCUUGAAACCAGACAAUUCUUCCCACCUAAAGGAUGAUAAUAAAAACUGAAUGCAGGCAAUUAUUCCUUCCUAAAGGAUGAUAAAAUAAAUAAAUGAUGGCAUGCUGCAUUAUACCACUUUGAAAUAUACAUAGGAAGAAAGGGACACACUUGUACCAAACUUUAUCAUGCGUCAUUAAUCAUAAUCAGUACUUAUUAUUUUCCCAAACCAAGACUAAUUGGCCAUAACUUGAAACACCACGUAUCCAUUUGUGUGGUGACAGCCUGAGCUCCUCCUACCGAGCGCCAAGGAGGAAGGGAUCAAGCAGAAUUGGUGAGUGACUCUCUCUCAUAAUGCAAAAUCGGUGAAACUAAAAACACAUGCUAUAGUUUGAAGUAAAGAAGUAGCAUAUGCAUUGGAGAUGUCAUUGUUUAAUUUACUGAAGUGGCUUCAAAUAUAAAAAAACGCAGAAGUGGCACACUCCAAACCAAUAAGACUGAAAUAAUCUAAGAAUAUUAUCAUUACAGAGGAACGAUUUCUAAACUUGCUGCCUUUAGCUGGUCGCACAGGGCAAAGAUAAUCCCAGUUCUUUACCACCACCACUUAACAAAAAUAGCAUAAAAGGGCAAAGUUAUCAGGGUACCGAGACUUUCUAUAAUAUGUAUCUGAAGCUAACCAUGCUGACCAGUGAGGGCAUCCUAAAGAUUUUAGUAACACCACGAAGCACAGAACAACCACAUGAUGUCAAUGAUUGUCAGGUGAACGGCAAUACCACAGGUAACAUAUAUGAUAGUAAAAAUGUAGAUGUACAAACCCUAGCUGACCAUAUCAAAAAAAGCAGAGGAGAUGUACGACAGACCUAUUAGGUCCACCAACUCCAUCGAUACCCAGCAAAGAUACUUGGGCUCGUGACGACGACAGUCGUGGAGGAGAGAACGAUGGCACCAACGAAAGGGCACGCUCCAACUUCAGAACACGGCUCCACCGUCGACCUUGAUGAGCAGCAUGACAUCACAAACAAAAUCAUACAAACACAAAGGCAACCAAGGAAGCAAGCACACAAGCUUAUAAAUCAGGGCAACCAAAAAUGCUACAACUACAGGUGCAAAAGCAGAUCUCAUGAGAUUAUUAGGCAACAUCAAAGUUAUAUAGCAUACUCUGAUUACAAUCAAUAAAGUUAUAUAGCAUAUUCUCUUUCAACAUCGAAAUUGUAUUUUUCAUCCACCUAAUAGAAUAUCAGAACAGAAAUAAGGGAACUUAAGUGGAAGGGGCAUAUAGUUCAAAGUUCAAUAGCAAGGCGUUGUUUAUUAUCGCUUUCAUUCAUCAAAUAAUGAAAAGAGCAUCAGUUAGAUGAUAAUAGAAUAGUGUGAUCAUUAGACAUAAUUUUUAACUUUUUCCAUUUAUGAUACUCUUGGCUUUGUACGAGAAACCCACUAUUUACUUCACCUCAGGACUGGAUUAGGAAAUCUUUCUUUCAAGAGACCAUCAGAUCAGCUAUUUCUAUUAUUGAAUCAGCUAAUUUUAUCGUCUGACCUAUUCACAAUGGGAAGAUUAAGGAGAGGGACAUAGUAGAAUGAAAUAUGUGUCACCUAAACAGAGUAACUCACCUUGUUGCCGCAUGUUGGCAUUGCUUGGGGAGGCAGUAGCUGUAGACUUUGAAAAGGAUGUUGGGUAUACGAUUCUCCCUUUGCAGUAGCUUGUGGGAGACGCAACGUGCAGGCCGAGAUCUCAUCUCCCUUCCCCAUCUCCCUCUCUACUUUCUCCUCCUGCCUGCUCUGUCU